rnacentral:rRNA from 1 species
GACAGAGGAUGCAAGCGUUAUCCGGAAUGAUUGGGCGUAAAGCGUCUGUAGGUGGCUUUUUAAGUCCGCCGUCAAAUCCCAGGGCUCAACCCUGGACAGGCGGUGGAAACUACCAAGCUGGAGUACGGUAGGGGCAGAGGGAAUUUCCGGGUGGAGUGGUGAAAUGGCGUAGAGAUCCGGAGGAACACCAAAGGCGAAGGCAGUGUCCUGGGGAGUACCUGACGCUCAGGUGCGAAAGCCAGGGGAGCGAACGGG